GCUCCACCACUCAGGCCGCGGGAAUUUCCGGCCCCACCGCGCGGCGCAGCGCCCCGCUCCGGCGGAGGAGGGAACCGCUUAGUCCAGCACCAUCAGGUGUGCUGUUGUGAAGAUUAAAUGAAAUAUCAAGCAUAUGAUCUGUAAAGGGCUGAGGAGCCACGUAAGCCAGAGACUGCCGACUGGGAUGCAGCAGGGAAAGCUAAGUGAUGCCUAUGUGGGACGCUGACGGCAGCCUUCCACUGGGAGCUGCACUUUGAUUACAGCUCUGAAAACCAGGCACGAAUGAGUAGAACAGUCAGGUGUGGGUGGAAGGGUGAAGUUUCUGGGGUUUUCAGUCAGGCAACCCUGAGUUAUAUGUCUGGUUCCUCCUCUGCCUAACUUUGGAUUCUUGAUCAAGUCUUGAAACUUCUUUUCAUCCAGGUUCCCUCAUCGUCUAUAAAAGGGGAAGAAUGACUGUUUGCAGGUUUGUGGUGGGAAUUAAGUGGGAAUAUUUAUGUAAAGUGCCUGCAACCAUGCCAACCCUCAAAUGUGAGUUUUCCCUUGUGUGAGCAUUCCUUCAUUUUGUUCUGGUUUUGUUUGUCAAUUUAAAAAAUAAAAAGAGGAAUUCCCAUGGUGAGGGGAGAUUGAUCCUGA